ACGUGUAGUGAGCGAGUGCGGCGGUGGCAACUGACGUGACACGAGGGAGGCGGUCUGUGCCUGGCCCAGCCAGCUGUCUUGUUCCUCCGUCCGGGAGGACGAGGAGGAGGAGGCGCAUCCCUCCAUCCUCUGCGACUUGGUGCGUCUCUCGAGCUCGAGUCGAUUGAUGAUUCAUCUUCCUAGUCUCGUCUCCGCGCCAUUCUCCAAAUCCAUCUAUCAUCACCAUCCCGAUCCCAGCCCCAGCCCCAGCCCCAGCCCCGCCAGACCCAGACCCGAUGCAGCAACAGCAGGACCCAGCACCCGCCGAUCCCGACCCACUGCCGCCCCCCGACCUCGGUGAUGCCGCCGCCUCGUCCGCAACGCAGACGAUCCCUUCCCGCAACGCCUCCUCCAAGUACGAUUUCGUCAAGGUCAAGGUCUGGCUCGGGGAGAACGCCGACCACUACUACGUCCUCUCCAGGUUCCUCCUCAGCAGGAUGCUCACAGUCACCAAGAUUCCUAAUCAUGUCGCCAUCAAGAUUGCCCUUGAGCUCAAGAAGCUGCUUGUCGACAACAGCCUGCUUGAUGUAUCCCAGAGUGAUCUAGAGGCUAAUCUGUUCAAGCUUAUGGAAAAACGGGGAUACGGAGAGGAGUAUAUAAAUCGCUAUAAAAUGAUGACAAGGUUCCAUCAUCAACGGGUUCCACUAGUAAUUUUGGUGUGUGGAACUGCCUGUACUGGAAAAUCAACAAUCGCUACACAACUUGCUCAGAGGCUCAAUUUGCCUAAUGUUUUGCAGACUGACAUGGUGUAUGAGCUGCUGCGGACAUCAACAGAUGCGCCACUUACUUCAGUUCCUGUGUGGGCUCGCGAUUUUAAUUCACCUGAAGAGCUUAUCACUGAAUUCUGCAGAGAAUGCAGAGUUGUACGCAAGGGUUUGGCUGGCGAUUUGAAGAAGGCCAUGAAAGAUGGGAAACCAAUUAUUAUAGAGGGAAUACAUUUGGAUCCAAGCAUUUAUCUUAUGGAUGAGGAAAAGAGUGAUGGUAAUUCCAGGACGGAGAAGACAGUAACAGAUUCUGAAAAUCCAGGCAUCUCUGUAGAAAGGAAGGUCGAACAUCAAUUCAAAAAUGGACUAGCAGAGAACAGAAUGGAUUCUACUGAGGACAACAAAAACUUUGUCAAAAGCAAAAAAAGCACGCUGGAGAAAGGUAGAACCAGUGAAGGUCUAUCUUAUGCUCAGAACCACGAAACCAAGGUCCAUGAUUCUGCACGUUCUCAAGAAAAAAAUCCCAAGGAUGAAAGUGAUGGGCACAAAGAUUUGGACCAACAGAAGAAUAAUGCCACCAAGAAAGACAAACCUGCUGCUGAGCCGAUAAUUGUUCCAAUUGUACUGAGGAUGUCUGAUUUUGAUCACAAAGCAUUGCUAGAGGAAUGGAUAGCCACUAGAGCUUUCAGAGAUAAUUGCAUUCCUCAGAGAUGUUACUAAUAAGCAGUGAUUUUGUGGGACCUACUUUCAGGAUCAUCGGAAACUUAUAAACAACCUUAAGCUUAUUCAGGACUACCUUUGUUCUUUUGAGUCACAGGGAUUGACCAUUGUUGAUAUCUCAGCAAAUUCGUUUCCUCAAACAUUAGAUUGGCUUCACAGCUAUCUUCUUCAGUGCAUCGAGCGAGGUCUUUUGGCUGCGUGUUUAGAAAGCUGCAAUCAAGGUCAAUGACACUCUUGGAUGUAACCUGUCCAACCACACCUCAGUGGGCAUUAUAUGCUGGCAAUGGACACUAAGAAUAUCAUUGUAAAGGAUUACGCAUGAGUCUGGAUAUCAUCUCCAACCAAGACCGAUAUGAAAAUACCAUCGUGAUGUUGUCAAUACCAGCCAUAAGCGUGGGUCUGUCUGAUUGGGGUUACUCGCAUUAAUAUUGUACUGUAUUGUAUUAGAGGUUAUGCGGCAUACUCAUAAUCUGAAUAAGAUAACAAAAUUUGGCAUUGUUUGCUUUAUCUGAAUAUAAACUUGUAAAGAUUUAUCUA